CAAGUCGAACGCGAAAGGGGCUUUGGUCCUGAGUAGAGUGGCGAACGGGUGAGUAACACGUGGGUGAUCUACCUUCGAGUGGGGGAUAACGUCCCGAAAGGGACGCUAAUACCGCAUGACGUUCUGGGUUUAAAGACCUGGAAACCAAAGCCGGGGACCGCAAGGCCUGGCGCUUGAAGAGGAGCCCGCGUCCGAUUAGCUAGUUGGCGGGGUAAUGGCCCACCAAGGCGACGAUCGGUAGCCGGCCUGAGAGGGCGGACGGCCACACUGGAACUGAGACACGGUCCAGACUCCUACGGGAGGCAGCAGUGGGGAAUUGUUCACAAUGGGCGCAAGCCUGAUGACGCAACGCCGCGUGGGGGAUGAAGGUCUUCGGAUCGUAAACCCCUGUCGAAUGGGACGAAAGACCCGGGAGCUAAUCAUCCUGGGAGUGACGGUACCGUUAAAGGAAGCCACGGCUAACUCUGUGCCAGCAGCCGCGGUAAUACAGAGGUGGCAAGCGUUGUUCGGAAUUACUGGGCGUAAAGGGCGCGUAGGCGGCCUUCUAAGUCAGACGUGAAAUCCCCCGGCUUAACCUGGGAACUGCGUCUGAUACUGGGAGGCUUGAGUAUGGGAGAGGGAUGUAGAAUUCCAGGUGUAGCGGUGAAAUGCGUAGAUAUCUGGAGGAAUACCGGUGGCGAAGGCGGCAUCCUGGACCAUAACUGACGCUGAGGCGCGAAAGCUAGGGGAGCAAACGGGAUUAGAUACCCCGGUAGUCCUAGCCCUAAACGAUGAAUACUUGGUGUGGCGGGUAUCGAUCCCUGCCGUGCCGAA
rnacentral:rRNA from 1 species